rnacentral:rRNA from 1 species
GAUGAACGCUGGCGGCGUGCCUAAUACAUGCAAGUCGAGCGAACAGACGAGGAGCUUGCUCCUUUGACGUUAGCGGCGGACGGGUGAGUAACACGUAGGUAACCUACCUAUAAGACUGGGAUAACUUCGGGAAACCGGAGCUAAUACCGGAUAAUAUUUCGAACCGCAUGGUUCGAUAGUGAAAGAUGGCUUUGCUAUCACUUAUAGAUGGACCUGCGCCGUAUUAGCUAGUUGGUAAGGUAACGGCUUACCAAGGCAACGAUACGUAGCCGACCUGAGAGGGCGAUCGGCCACACUGGAACUGAGACACGGUCCAGACUCCUACGGGAGGCAGCAGUAGGGAAUCUUCCGCAAUGGGCGAAAGCCUGACGGAGCAACGCCGCGUGAGUGAUGAAGGUCUUCGGAUCGUAAAACUCUGUUAUUAGGGAAGAACAAACGUGUAAGUAACUGUGCACGUCUUGACGGUACCUAAUCAGAAAGCCACGGCUAACUACGUG